rnacentral:rRNA from 1 species
UGGUACCUACGGGAGGCAGCAGUGGGGGAUAUUGCACAAUGGGGGGAACCCUGAUGCAGCGACGCCGCGUGGGUGAAGAAGUAAUUCGGUAUGUAAAUCCCUAUCGGCAGGGAAGAAAUUGGACGGUACCUGACUAAGAAGCCCCGGCUAACUACGUGCCAGCAGCCGCGGUAAUACGUAGGGGGCAAGCGUUAUCCGGAUUCACUGGGUGUAAAGGGAGCGUAGACGGCCAUGCAAGCCUUGAGUGAAAGCCCGGGUCCCAACCCC